rnacentral:rRNA from 1 species
CGGGACACGUGGUAUCCUGUCUGAAUAUGGGGGGACCAUCCUCCAAGGCUAAAUACUCCUGACUGACCGAUAGUGAACCAGUACCGUGAGGGAAAGGCGAAAAGAACCCCGGCGAGGGGAGUGAAAAAGAACCUGAAACCGUGUACGUACAAGCAGUGGGAGCCUCUUAAUGGGGUGACUGCGUACCUUUUGUAUAAUGGGUCAGCGACUUAUAUUCUGUAGCAAGGUUAACCGAAUAGGGGAGCCGAAGGGAAACCGAGUCUUAACUGGGCGUUAAGUUGCAGGGUAUAGACCCGAAACCCGGUGAUCUAGCCAUGGGCAGGUUGAAGGUUGGGUAACACUAACUGGAGGACCGAACCGACUAAUGUUGAAAAAUUAGCGGAUGACUUGUGGCUGGGGGUGAAAGGCCAAUCAAACCGGGAGAUAGCUGGUUCUCCCCGAAAGCUAUUUAGGUAGCGCCUCGUGAAUUCAUCUCCGGGGGUAGAGCACUGUUUCGGCAAGGGGGUCAUCCCGACUUACCAACCCGAUGCAAACUGCGAAUACCGGAGAAUGUUAUCACGGGAGACACACGGCGGGUGCUAACGUCCGUCGUGAAGAGGGAAACAACCCAGACCGCCAGCUAAGGUCCCAAAGUCAUGGUUAAGUGGGAAACGAUGUGGGAAGGCCCAGACAGCCAGGAUGUUGGCUUAGAAGCAGCCAUCAUUUAAAGAAAGCGUAAUAGCUCACUGGUCGAGUCGGCCUGCGCGGAAGAUGUAACGGGGCUA